AUACGUAGGGGGCGAGCGUUGUCCGGAAUGAUUGGGCGUAAAGGGCGCGUAGGCGGCUUUGCAAGUCAGUAGUGGAAGUCCAUUUUUCAAGGAUGGAAGUGCUACAGAAACUGCGGAGCUUGAGUGCAGGAGAGGUUAUCGGAAUUCCCGGUGUAGCGGUGAAAUGCGUAGAGAUCGGGAGGAACACCAGUGGCGAAGGCGAAUAACUGGGCUACAACUGACGCUGAGUCGCGAAAGUGUGGGGAGCAAACAGGAUUAGAUACCCUGGUAGUCCACGCUGUAAACGAUGAAUGCUAGGUGUAGGAGGUAUAGACCCCUUCUGUGCCGCAGUAAACACAGUAAGCAUUCCGCCUGGGGAGUACGGUCGCAAGAUGAAAACUCAAAUGAAUUGACAGGG
rnacentral:rRNA from 1 species